rnacentral:lncRNA from 1 species
CCGGCCUCCAGCCCCGCCCUUCGGCCCAGUUCUCUGCCCUGUCUCUGGCUUCACCAAAACCAGAAACUUAGGGGUCAGGUUAUUCCAGGUGCUGCAGACCUGUGAGAGACAUCAGUUUAGUGGCCCCAGAAUACACUAGAUGGCAGGUAGAGUAAAGAGCACUGGGGGAGUCUUGAUGUCUGGAUUUGAAUCGCGGCUUAGCUACAACUGCCUGCCGGAUGUGGAGCUGGACAGCAGGGGACAAGCAAAGGUGUACACUCCUGGAGAGCCCGGGUGGUUCAGUCAGCUAAGUAUCUGCCUUUGGCUCCGGCCAUGAUCCGGGGGUCCUGGGAUCAAGCCCCACAUCUGGCUCCCUGCUCAGCUGAAGCUCCCCUUGCUUGUGCUCUCUCUCUG